rnacentral:rRNA from 1 species
CAUAUCAAUAAGCGGAGGAAAAGAAACUAACAAGGAUUCCCCUAGUAACUGCGAGUGAAGCGGGAAAAGCUCAAAUUUAAAAUCUGGCAGUCUUUGGCUGUCCGAGUUGUAAUCUAGAGAAGUGUUAUCUGCGCUGGACCGUGUACAAGUCUCCUGGAAUGGAGCGUCAUAGAGGGUGAGAAUCCCGUCUUUGACACGGACUGCCAGGGCUUUGUGAUGCGCUCUCAAAGAGUCGAGUUGUUUGGGAAUGCAGCUCAAAAUGGGUGGUAAAUUCCAUCUAAAGCUAAAUAUUGGCGAGAGACCGAUAGCGAACAAGUACCGUGAGGGAAAGAUGAAAAGAACUUUGGAAAGAGAGUUAAACAGUACGUGAAAUUGCUGAAAGGGAAACGCUUGAAGUCAGUCGCGUUGGCCAGGGAUCAACCUUGCUUUUGCUUGGUGCACUUUCUGGUUGACGGGUCAGCAUCAAUUUUGACCAUUGGAAAAAGGUCAAGGGAAUGUGGCAUCUUCGGAUGUGUUAUAGCCCUUAGCUGCAUACAAUGGUUGGGAUUGAGGAACUCAGCACGCCGCAAGGCCGGGUUUUUAACCACGUACGUGCUUAGGAUGCUGGCAUAAUGGCUUUAAUCGACCCGUCUUGAAACACGGACCAAGGAGUCUAACAUGCCUGCGAGUGUUUGGGUGGAAAACCCGAGCGCGCAAUGAAAGUGAAAGUUGAGAUCCCUGUCGUGGGGAGCAUCGACGCCCGGACCAGACCUUUUGUGACGGCUCCGCGGUAGAGCAUGUAUGUUGGGACCCGAAAGAUGGUGAACUAUGCCUGAAUAGGGUGAAGCCAGAGGAAACUCUGGUGGAGGCUCGUAGCGAUUCUGACGUGCAAAUCGAUCGUCAAAUUUGGGUAUAGGGGCGAAAGACUAAUCGAACCAUCUAGUAGCUGG